GGCGGCUUCGCCCCUCGGCGCCGUCUGGUCCCCUUGGGGGGCGCGGCGCGGCCCGCCGGACCUGCGGCCGUUGCUAACGGCUCUCCUGGGGCCGCCGCCGUCCCCCUCCCCCAGGGCCGCCGGCCCCGCAGGGGGAGCGGGGCGCUCCUCGGCCCCCUGUGCCGCCCCGGCCCCGCUCUCGCCGCGGGCUCCGCGCCCGGGUGAAGAAAUCCGCCUUCCCGCGCUCUCCCCGAGAAGUCGUGCGGAGGCGGCGGAGGCUUGCGAGCUGCCACGGGGCUCGCCCCGGUCCUGCCUGCGGGCCUCCCGCUUGUCCUCCUCCCCUCGCGGGGGAGAGGCGUUCAGAGGCGUGCAGGAGGCCGAGCGCGGGGAAGUCACGGAGGGGCAAAUCCAUGAAGCUGUCGGACUUUGGUAUCCUACCUGGUAGUAACGUGUUUUCCUCGAGGACAACGCAGGAGGGGAUGAAAAAGGAGGGAAAAUAUUACAUAUAUAUUUAGUUUAUGCUAGUGGUAGGCCCAAAGUGUGAGAUCAGGUUCUUGUUAAACAUUCUGAUGUUUUUAAGGAAUCUGUUAUUAAGCUGAAGGUAGCCUCUUGGGUAUGAAAGGAAUGGCAAAUAAGAGUGUGUAACAUUAGUAUGCAGUGGACUUGAUACAUUUGGGGGUUUUAUUUCUUGCUUUUAGGAGACAGAUCUUGAAAGAUACUAGUGUGUGCUUCUGCAGCUCACUGAACUUAGAGCUGAGGAUGCUUAAACAUUUCAUGGGAAUGGAACAGGAAGGAUUCUUGUUAGGCAGUAAUGUUUUUGUAAUAGUUGUUAUCCUCUUGAAAUGCAGAAGGGAACAUAUUUUAAUCUGUUAACUAAGUUAAAAUGCUCAAAGAAAAUACCUUUGAGACAAAACAAGGGAAAUGUUGUUAUAAUGGGUUUGUUUUCUAUUGCAUAUGUUGCAGUUCUGGUCUGAAAGAAGGUGUGUGACGAGCUCUAGGAUUGUUUUUGUAUUUGUAUCAGCAAGCACAUCAUAUUUUAGCAACAGUCAUCACCCGAAAUACAAUCCAUAAAGUAUACGAGCAUGGGUGUAAUUCUCAGUAAAAAAGAUAACAAGUUGUUGGUUUUUUGUUUUUUUGUUUUUUGAAGGUAUCAUUUUAGUGGAGGAGAAGUGUCCAUUUACCUAGAAAAGAAACUGUCAGAUGCACAAACCCCCCCCCCAAAGAAAAAAAAAAAAGAGAAGGGUUUGUGUCUGUCUUGCUGCCAGGGGACUUGCAGAGUUAAGCUGAUGAAGAAUGCUUGAGAUUCAAAAUAGGCAGGUCCAGAACAAAGUAUCAGAAGUGUUCAAGAGAGCGAAAAUGCAUGAAUAAUCUAUCUUAAUGUAUUUUAAACUUAAUAACAUACAGCACACUGUAGUCACAUCUGAAAAGAACCAUUGUUUUUCCAGUUCUUCUAUCUGAAAUUAAUUUUACGGGAUUCUAUUUUCUUGUUUCAGGAGCAAUGACAGUGCAUUAGCAGAGUAAAUAGAAUGCAUCUUCUCUCCAAAAGUUUACAAUCUGGCUUUUAAUAUCAUAUAAGGAAUGGAAGCUAUGUGUAAAGGAGGCCAAAUAGUUGAGGAGACCAAAUAUAAAGACAAGAUUUGUAAUACAGAUAUGCUAAUCCAAUAGCCAUAACACACUUAGCUGUAGAACAGUUUUUGAAGAACAAAAUAAAGACAUGGAGAUGAAUGAAAAGUGGGAUGAAAUGCAACAUAGUUUUAGGAAAAAUAAUUUGUGGCAGACCAACUUAUCUUACACUAGGAUUUUCUAGAAAAAAAUACACUAGAUCUGAUGUGUUUCAUCUUCAGUAAUAUUUGAUAUUUUUACAUAAUUUCUCACAUGGUAAAUGGGAAAAUUGAGAUUGAUUAAAUUGUAAGGCAACUUAGGAAUGCAAUGAGAGAUAACAGGUGGAAGGAGGAAGUUUUGAUGGAAAGGAGGCUACAGGCUGAAUUGUUCAAAGACUAUUUCAGAAAAUAUUUUUUCAUUAGUGACAUUUGUGAAACGUUAGGAUUGUGCUGACGAAAUUUUAUAAUGGCACAAAACUGGGAGGCAUUGGCAACGGAGAGGAGGAUCGGAAUAUCUGUCUGCAAGCAAGAUGAAUCAAAACAAAGAUUAAUAGAAUUGGAUGAGAUUUGGCAAUAUAGAAGAUAUAGCUAUGCAAAUGUAAGCUAAUCAUAACUUAUUCUAGACAAGCUCAUCAUCUGGCAGUGAAUUACCUGAUGUUAUAGUCAGUGGUAGAAUGAUAGCAUAUCACUGAUGUGAUGUGGCUGAGGGGAAAAAAAAGGUAGUGUCUUAGGAUGUUUUAGGAGAGGGAUUUCCAGUAUCCAGAAAAUAUUAAUGUAUGUGGUUCUAGUGAGACCUUAUCUGUAGCCUAAUGUAUAACUAAUCACGCAUGUUCAAAUAAAUGGAUUCGAACUUGUACAGAUGCAGAAAAGGACUAUAGGGAUGUUAAGAGGAAUUGAGAGGCUGCUUACUGAAAGGCACAAAAGUGACAGCUACAUGGUAUUUGUAUAGGGAAGCAAAAGAAAUAUGUGGGCUCAAGAUUUGUUUUAGCAAGCAGAGCAAAUGGGUAUAAAGGGGUAACGAACAGUUUAUUAGAAGUUACAGGAAAACAUCUAUCAGACCACUGAUGUUUUAAAGCAGUUUUAAAUAAAGUCUAAUUUUUUUUUAAUGAAGUUUGAACCCACAGAAGAACAUCAUGUGGUUCUCUGCCGUGGUGGGAGCUUGACUCAGGAAUCCUGAAUAUCUCUUCUUCUAAUUCUGUAUUCUUGUGCUCUGGUAAAAUGCAUUAUGACUGAGAUGGAUGUGUAGAUUUGUGGUGGGCACAUUUUUGAAAGUAUCGCUGGUUUUUUUUUUUAUCAUCUUUGUUUCCAUUUUCAUUAAUCAAGCUUUUACCUCUUCCUUGGGACACUUACCAGAAGCAGAAUAGUUCAGUUACAUUCGUUACCAAUUGCUUAUCAUCUUCACACUCUGAAUGUGCUGACAGAAAACAUGUUCUUGACUUCACUGACUUUAACUUUUGGAGUAGACAAACUGUAUGAUUUGGACUCCUUAUAUGUGGAAUGAUGGUUGAAGGUCUCCUCACACAGCACUGCCAUGACUCUUCAUCCCCAGAUGGGCUAUUCUUAGAAGUCUUUAUGGAACAAUUUUAAGGAAAUAAUUUAAAUGAAACCUCCAAAGUCAUUUAGGGCAAGAAAAUACUACAUUUUUAAGUGUAUGUAUAAUCAGCUCACUUGGGAUGUUACCUGAGGCCUGUCUUUGUUCUGCUUUUGUUUUCAGAACCUGUUUUUUGCAUACAGCAUUUAGUGCUGCACUGAAGAAUUAACCAAAGAGCCUUAAAAUUAGAACAUUGCUUUUCAUAACAAGGCUCCAUGCAGACAUUUUAGAUUUUUACCUGGCAUUGUUGCUAUUUGGGAAAUCUCUACAAAGUGGGGAAUUAAACCAUCACUGCUCAGUCAUCCUUUCUCAUUUUUUUUCUUUCAGUCCACAGCUGUAUCAGGUUAUUCAGAGAGAAAGAAUCUGUUUAAAGGCAAUAACUUCCCAUUCAGUGGUCAAUAGAAAAUGAAGUGAUGGAGUCAAUCUAAUCGUCAAUGUAUACAUUAAGUGCUACCAGUGGCACUUUUUCUAGAUGCUGAAACAGAGGACUGAAUGGAUUAUAGGGAUUAAACUUCCUUCAUCCCCCUAGAGGUGAACAAGUCAUGUGAAAAUGGAGGGCUUAUUUGGUAGGAGACAGUAUGAAAGACUUGGAAGACAAAAAAGAAAUACAUAUCUCUAAAUGGUUUCUUGCACACUUUCUCUGUAAUAGAUGGUGGUAUGUGAGCUGCAGACAGAAACUUGAAGCUUACAGGGCAGAUAUAUGACUGUAAAGAGAUUCUGUGAGUAAGGAAAGAAACACAGUUGGUCAUUAUUUCACCGGGAUUCCUGGAGGAUUUUUUUUCUCUUCUAUCAUAAGUUCCUCUUUUAAAAAAAAAAAAAAAAAAAGAAAGAAAAAAAAAAAAGAGAGAGAGAGAGAGAGAAAAGAAACCUAUUCAUAGCAUACACUUGUUCUUUUCUUGACCUUUUUAAAUUAAAAGGAAGCCAUGGACUUUCUCACUGAAAUGAUGGGAAGACAGUGUUAAGACUACAGCAAAGGUAAUGUUGUGAAAUUGGCCUGAUUUGGGCCAGGAUUUGCCCAUGUCACCCUGCCAGGCUUUCCACUGCAAAAAGAGGCACUUCAUCAGGGCCACCAGUUACUUGUGUUCCUCUGUGCUAUACUGUGCCUCUUGAAAUACUACUGAUUCUAGGAGCAUCUUUCUGGAAGUGAGAAACAUUUGUGUAAUAAGGCUGAUAAUUACGUUCACAUGAUUCAAUAACAAGAGCAAAAUGGGAACAGAGCCUAAUGGUUUCAUAUUAAAAAGGAUGCUAGUAGUGCUACUAAGAGUAGGGCAAGUCUGUUCUUUUGCUGGUUUUAUACAAGUAAGUAUGGACAGAAUGUGUGUGUGUGUGUGUAUACUCACAACACACACACACACACACACACACACACACACACACACACACACACACACACACACACACACACACACACACACACACACCAACUUUGCUGCGUUUGCUAGCUGUUGAAUAGAAAUAUCAAAGGAUUACUAUAUAAAAGUAAUGGGAACUUGCACUCUGAACAAAAUUUGGGUAUGCCAGAGCUUGGUUUUGAUAGCAUUAAGCUUGGAAAGAGAUUGUUUGCUGCAUCCUGUAGCAACAUUUUAGGGUUUUUUUUGUUUUUCUUUUUUGUUUUUAGUAAUUAUUAGUAUGAAUACUUUGGAGCCAGGUCUUCAGCUGCUGCAGAUCUUUGGUUCUUUAUUGAUGUCUCCAAGAGGAUAGUGAUUUGCAUCAGCUGAAUGGAUGGCCUUCUAGGUGGGUGUGUUUAGUGGUGUCUUUUGGCUUAUAUAAUUUACUUCCUCCUAUUCACUGGAUAAAAAAAAAACGGUCGGAGGAGGGGCAGGGGUAAUCUUCCCAAUAAGCUCCUCCCAUAUGAAAAAACAGUUCAGCACCUCUGACAUGGUUGUAUAGUUGUUACAAAAGCUGUUGGAUGUUGUUAUAGCAGCAUCUAUAGGAGCAGAAAUACAAAGAAGAGAAAUACAAAGUUACGCAUUCUCCUGGCCUCUCUCCAGCUUAUGAAAACCUCGGAUUGAAGGAAAUGUCAUCUUUUGGAGCUAUUUGUUUCCUGGAGUACCUUCUUAUGCAGAAACUUCUCUCAAAACUUAAUCGAAGUAGAAUACCUGAUUAUCAAGUAGGAUAAAAAUACUAUUUGUACCUAUUUCAGAGGGGUGAUGGUCAUUUCUGUCUUGAGUGGCUCUUUAGAAAGAGUCUGAAUGAUUGCUGCUGUUCUUACUGUGGUGUGUAGGUAGUUGACAGCUUGCUUUAAAUUAUGAAGGUGAAAUGAGUUUUGCUCUUCCACUAUCAAGCACUAAGAAGUAUUGACAGUCAGAGAAGCCAGGCCUCACUUUCUUGAGUGAGGCAACAUUCUACUACCAUAAAUUCCACAACACAGUAUCACCCCUUAAUCCUUAUUUUUCUAUUAUCAUCCAUGGGUGAGGGACUAGAGCAUCUAAAGAUAAAAUUUAGGCCACCACACCACCUGUUCUGGGUGCCACCUAACCGUGAGAGGACCACUAUUCCUGCCCCUAGCUUUCUCUGCCUGCCAAGGUGCUGAUGACUGGAUAACAUUGCUGCGACCUGCACCUUAGCGCUGAUGAACAGUUUAGUUGCACUGGGCUGUACCAACAAAGCAUUUGCCUGCUGAUGUUACAUGUGAGGUCUGUCCUGCCAGGUGCUCCUAAAGCGAUCUGCGGUGGCAGGGCCUCACAAGGUGCACGGAGACACGCUGUGUGUGAGUGGUCUGUCAGUUCAAGUGCGUAAGGCAUGGGAAACUGAAGUUCAGAUCCCGUGCCUGCCUCUGCACCUUGCUUUUGCUUUGUUCUUCCCAGGACUUCUGAGGUACUUAGAGAUGAUGGAAGAAAUACUAUUCUUUGGAGAGGAGCAAGUACAAGGCUGCAUCUCUAAAGCUAAUGAGGUUAGGGCAACCAUCUACCAUGAUGGAUAGCUGGGAUUAAAAUCCUUACGGUAAUGGAGAGUUGUAUAUAAUACUGGGAAUGACUAGUUCCAGGGUCUCUUUAAAAUGCCAGCAUUUAAUGGUUAGAACUCCUUUGGAGGUACAGAAGCCAGACCAUUUUAAAAAAAUAAUGGGGGGUGGGGGGGGAGAGGAAGAAACAUAAUCAGGUGUAAACAACAGGAGGCUGAGAUUUUGCUCUCAGCUGCUGUUCCUAUUAGUGUCCUAGUUCAACCUAGUGCCAGUGUCUUCAUGUGCAAAGUAGGAGUGAUGUAUUCUACUACACAGGCACUCUCUGAAAUGUAUUUCAUGUUCAUGGAAUACUUGGAGGCAGAAAGUGUUCUAGAAGCACCAAGUUAUGGUAGGGGCACCAAAACUAUCUGCUAAACAGUGGACCUUUGAGGAGACAGUCCAGGAAGAAGGUGGUUUUUGUUUGUGGUUUUUUUUUUUUUUUUUUUUAAAGUCUGCAUUGACAAAGCUGGCAUAUAGAAGAGGGUAAGCAGAUACGUGGAAGAGAGGAAAUGUUGUGUGGCUCCUGGUCUGUGAAUAUGAUGCAAACUUGACCUAGACUAACGCUCUCAGCAACAACAGAUGCAUCGGGUGGAUGCAGGGGGAGGGCUAGAGACCAUUUGGCAUGUGACAUACUCCACAAAAGAAUCCAGUGGAAGAGGAAUGAGUUGAUAUACUACAACGUAGUGGAUGGACACUAGGUUACAGAUGGGGAGACAAAGGUUUAUUAUGAAAUGUAGUCCAUCAUCUGAGUCUGAAAGUGAAUGGAUCAUGUGAGAUGAUGCUGAGUGUUGCAGUGGCAAGAGGGACACCUGUUCCUGGACUUUGUUCAUUUUACAUGAACAAGUAUCCAUGUCACUUAUCCACAGUUACUAAACUAAAUAGCAGUGACAUUAAAGAUUAAACAAUGAGAAUACACUAUUUUGUUUCUACAGAUGGUAUUUCCAGCUCAAAAUCAAUACAUUUCAGUGGGUUGUAGGACUGAAGGUUAAUCUUCUGUUGCCACUGCCAAUGGUAUGUCUGUCCACUAAAUAUGUUCUGCAGUUGGAUUUGCAGUAUAUGCACCUAUUAGAGUUCUUUUGAAGAAGUACUUUUUUCAUUUCCAGUAUUGCUGGUGAUUAAAGAAAAAAAGGCAAAAAAAGCUUCAUAUGCAUGAUCUACUCAAGCUGUUCCCUGCUCUUCAUGGGGAGGAGAUCUGGAGCUCCUCACUGUAAUCGCUUCUAGGAACCCUUAACAGGGAAUGGCAACAAAAAGAGGAAUUUAGAGAUUUUACAAGAGACUGCAGAGCUCACCUGUUAACUUGUAGUAGGUGAAAGUGAAAAACUGCUUUAUAAAGUACUAGAAGUUUGUAGUCCCACUUAUAAUGUAUCCUUUGUAAGUGGAAUUGAACUGACUUUCUCAUAAAGAUCAAUGUGUGUCUGCAUGGCAAGUUGAAUUUAAAAUCUGUGGACUCAACUAGUUAAUGUGGCAACCACUGUCUUGCAUUAGGUUCUGUUUAGCCUCUGUUGCUACAUUUACCUGCAGUGAUUUGUUGUUAAGAAAUUCAGGACUUUAAUCUCUGAAGCAAAAGGGGAGGUUGCUAAAGCUCAGGUUUUAUUUAAGAAACAACAAGAAGAGUGUAGAUGUUAUACAGUGUCGUAACUCAAUUUCAAAACUAAGACAGCUGACUAGUGUUCACAGGUUCCUGUCCUUCUAAUAGAAGCUAUCAUCAGAAGUGUGCUAUUGCAGAAUUAGAGAGACAUACAAAUCAAAACUUGCCCUUGCUUGCUUACUAUGGUAGUUAAUGUUACCGGUUCUAUCACUUUCUCCCAGUCUGCUUCUCUCUGGCUUGUUUACACCUGUAAGCUUUGCAGAGCAGGGAUAAUCUGUUCUGUGGUUAUUCAGUGCCUGGCAGCGUGGGCUGCCCAUUUUCUAUGAAUACCUGGGUGCCUUGUGUUAGGCCCACAUGAGGACUUCGAGGGCUAAGAGUCAGCUAGCUGCCAUUCUCAAGGCCUAAAUCCAAAACGUAGAUACCCAAACCCCUGCCCAACUGAGGAACAUGCUAGGAGAGAGGAUUACGUAGAUACCUGCCUCUAGGGGUGUCCAAAGACACUGCUUUAAUAAAUGCUGAAGAGUUGUGUUGGGUGGGAUGAGAAUGCCUGCUUCCAGCACUCCAACCUCUCCAGUCACGCUGGCUUUCUGUCACCUCAUUUAGGCUGAUGGACAAUCGGAUAUUCUGUGUGCUAUGGACCAACUUCAGCAGGAGGGACUGAGACAGCCUCACCCAAUACAGAUCUCUGCCGUGUAGUUAAGACGCUCUGCUGCUGAAAACUCUUUUGGGCAGAGGAGGGAAACCUGAGUUUCUGGGUUCCUAGGUGAAUGCUGAGGAGUGUGUGGGGAAAGAGGGUACUAUUACCCCUGCAGAAGGGAUAGGUUAAGUACAUAGGAAAAGGCUCAGGAUUGGGAAUCCCAUGCAAGGUAUCUAGCUUCAACCUAGAGUUGUUAGGGUCCACUGCUAUUUGAGGUGCUGCAAGAGAUGUAUCAGCAUGCCUGGCUAGUUUAUGUGGGGAGUUUUUCACUUAACAGGUGGGCCAGUGCAGAGCCCAUUCUUGGAUACCUGGCUGUUCUGCAUUAUGCAUGGAGGCUGGGUGUCUAAUCUGGAGCUCUGAAUUUGGGCAAAGAGACACUGCAGUGCUCAGCACUGCAGCAUCUGGGCCUUUAUUGAAUCUGGCCUCACUGCAAUGAGUGUGAGUAAUGAUAACAGAGGCGUGAGGGUAGAAUGACUGUACAGGAGAGAGAAAGCUGCACUUGACUUGAUAGAAUGAAGAACAUAUUUGUAAAGGGAUUAAAUUAGUGCUGGGUGCAAGAAUACCACUUAAUGAAGCAAAUGGCUAUACCUCUUUUCAGUGGCAGGAAAAAAAGUGACAUGCCACAGAUUGCCCCCUUUCUAUGCUCACUGUUCUUGCAGAAUAGAUGGCACUGUAACCUGGGUUAGUCAGACGUGGGUGAGGAAUGAAUCCCAGCUCUGAGGCCUCCUGUUUGCUGAGACCACCUGGCUGCAAGCCUCACUGUAAAUAAAGCGACUCUUACCUUGAUUCUCAACUACAGAGCUUACUGUAAGAGGUAUCUUUCUCAUGCACUGGUAGCCCAGGCCAGGAGGGCGGGAGGAAGUAUGUGUGAAACACUGCAGUGUGUUUUUACUGAGAUGUGUGAUUGCCUGUAAGGUGCUCAUGUGGCAGCAAAGUCACUGAAAAAAAAAUGCUAAUAAACAUUGAGUGUCUCUUCUUGAGCAUCUAUUGGAUGCUCUUUAGUCUUCUAUUCAGCAUAUUUUAUUUAUUUUUUCUUUGCUAUAUUUCAUCUUCUUUACAUCUUUUGAUUUCUUCCUCUCCGUAGUUCUCCAUCCUGAUUUUCUUUUUAUUUUAUUUACUGUUCCUUAUUUACUCAUGCACGUACUUAUUCCUUUAGAUCUCCUAAAUACUUUCAUCUUUCUUGUGAUUUGCCAUACAGUUUGGUCACCUGUGUACUGGAGCAACAUAGCUAAGUUGUGGGUUGACUUGCACUUGCAUCACUACCCUGAACUUAAUUGUGUCUGCAGUCAUCUGGAACUGACUACAUGCCAGGACUGAUAAAAGAUGCCGUGCAAACAUGGAUCUCUCGGGCCGUGGCAAGAUGCUUUUGCAGUAUCCUGUCUCUCUAUUGCCUGGACCUCUGGAAGACAGAAGAGUGGGAAUCAACAGUGAUGGUUUUCCUGCAAAUGCAAUUUGAGAACUACUUUGACAGCCGAUAGAAAAAGAACUACCUUGCAGUGUGACCACAGCAAGUGCAUGUUCUUUCUGACAGUGUAUAAUUGCACUGUGUCCCUGGUGAGGAAUGAUGCCAGAAUCGCCAUCUGAUUAUCUGUAUUCUUUUCUCAUAGUUGUUUUAACCAAGUUGUUUCUUUUCCACAAAUGUUCAUGCAAAAAAUGCAAAGAUUCUCCAUGUAGAAUAAGUAGGCCUAUAAAGUAAGGAAUGGCUGGUAUGGAACAAACGGAAAAUUAGAUCUUUCAGCAAUUUUGCUCUUGUAAUUAAGGCCUGUCUGUGGCAGUUCUGAUGCGGGAUACACUUAGUGAGGCUUAUGAGAAUUUUCCCUGUGUGAAGACUGCAGGAUUUAGCCCUAGCAAAUAAUAACGUUCUAACAAUGGUAGCCGUUGGGCUAUAGGUGAGUUUUCUUUGGAGAGGAAAAAAAAGAGGGAGAAGAAGAAAACUUGUCAAAAGUUUGAUGCCAUCUUUCAGUAUUAAGUGACAGAUAAACAGAGGGAAAAAACAAAAGGUGAACUAAAUCACGGUAUGGAUGGAUACAUGCUUUCUGUUAUUGAAUAAACAAAAUUCAGUGAUGUAUAUUAUUCCGUGUAAGCUCUGACACAGCUGGUGUCUGAUGAAGAUUAAUUUCUAAAAAUCAACCAUAAACCUAUGGAUCAGCCAGUAAGACAACGACUUGACAAAUUAUUCACUGCCAAGUGUAUGGUAGUUCCAUGCCCUUAAUCUGCAUCACUGCAGACAGCGUAUUGUUGAAUCCAAUGAAGUUUAAAUCCCACUAUGAAUGUAAUUGUUCUCCACAAGCAGAUUAUGAACAGAGGCCUUUCAUUUCUGUUAAUUUUGUAUGUUUGAGUGAUAAGCUAUUGUAUACAUAUUUUUAAUAACAGGAAAUGUAACAAACAUGCUUAUUUUUAUUAAACUAAUAAAACAGGUAAACCUAUCAAA